GUUUCACGGUAGCGGGGGUGGCAGCUGACAUGCUCGGCCAUGCGCUGCACUCGCCGCCUCACAUAGAAGAAGAUGCGGGUGUAGACAGCCACCAUGAGCAGGAAGACGAGCAGACUGGACAGCGCCCAGACGGCGAGGACUGGAUCGCACGCGGAGCUCUGGGAGGGCCGGCCCGUGUGACUCAGCCAGGUGUCCAGGCCCAGCCUCUACCGCCUGUACGUGCUCGGGGGUGUUCUGAGAUGAAAAUAAGAGGGCUUUGGCUUCUGUAGUCGGUGAAAAUGAAGCGGAAGACUGCUGCCUCACCGACCUCUCCUGUGUCACCCUCCUCCAGCAAAGAAAGACACUCAAGGAUAUAAAAGACAGUUUAUUCAGAGGCCACCAGACCCCAGGCACCACCAGGAUGCUGAGUCUGGGUUGCCACACCCUCCAAGAUCUGGUCACUUGGGAUCAGCUAAGGAGGCAGACAGAGAUGGGGGAGUGGCCACA